AAGCUCGUAGUUGAACUUCAGACCUGGCCGGGUGGUCUGCCUCACGGUAUGUACUGUCUGGCUGGGUCUUACCUCUUGGUGAGCCGGCAUGCCCUUUACUGGGUGUGUCGGGGAACCAGGACUUUUACCUUGAGAAAAUUAGAGUGUUCAAAGCAGGCCUAUGCCUGAAUACAUUAGCAUGGAAUAAUAAAAUAGGACGUGCGGUUCUAUUUUGUUGGUUUCUAGAGUCGCCGUAAUGAUUAAUAGGGAUAGUUGGGGGCAUUAGUAUUCAGUUGCUAGAGGUGAAAUUCUUGGAUUUACUGAAGACUAACUACUGCGAAAGCAUUUGCCAAGGAUGUUUUCAUUAAUCAAGAACGAAGGUUAGGGGAUCGAACACGAUCAGAUACCGUUGUAGUCUUAACAGUACACUAUGCCGACUAGGGAUCGGGCGAACUCAAUCUUAUGUGUCGCUCGGCACCUUACGAGAAAUCAAAGUCUUAGGGUCCUGAGGGGAGUAUGGUCGCAAGGCUUGAAACUUAAAGGAAUUGACGGAAGGGCACCACCAGGAGUGGAGCCUGCGGCUUAAUUUGACUCGACACGGGGAAACUCACCAGGUCCAGACAUGACUAGGAUUGACAGAUUGAUAGCUCUUUCAUGAUUUUAUGGGUGGUGGUGCAUGGCCGUUCGUAGUUGGUGGAGUGAUUUGUCUGGUUAAUUCCGAUAACGAACGAGACCUUAACCUGCUAAAUAGCCCAGUCGGCUUUGGCUGAUUGCUGGCUUCUUAGAGGGACUGUCUGUGUCUAACAGACGGAAGUUUGAGGCAAUAACAGGUCUGUGAUGCCCUUAGAUGUUCUGGGCCGCACGCGCGCUACACUGACAGAGCCAGCGAGUUAUUCACCUUGGCCGGAAGGUCUGGGUAAUCUUGUGAAACUCUGUCGUGCUGGGGAUAGAGCAUCGCAAUUAUUGCUCUUCAACGAGGAAUU
rnacentral:rRNA from 1 species